GACGAACGCUGGCGGCGUGCUUAACACAUGCAAGUCGAACGGUGAAGCGCCUUCCUUUUUGGUGGGUGUGGAUGAGUGGCGAACGGGUGAGUAACACGUGAGUAACCUGCCCCCUUCUUCUGGAUAACCGCAUGAAAGUGUGGCUAAUACGGGAUAUUCUGGGUCGGUCGCAUGAUGGGUCUGGGAAGGAUAUUGUUUCGGUGGGGGAUGGGCUCGCGGCCUAUUAGCUUGUUGGUGGGGUGAUGGCCUACCAAGGCGGCGAUGGGUAGCCGGCCUGAGAGGGGGGUCGGCGGCACUGCUGCUGCUGCGCCGCCGCCACUACUACGGGGGGCGGCAGCAGGGGGGAUUACGGCAUGGUCGGCGGCAGGCUGAUGCAGCGCCGCCGCGUGAGUGAUGGAGGCCGUCUGGUUGUGAACCUCUUUCGGCAGUGAAGCAGUCCUGCCUCGUUUGUGGGUGGGUUGACGGUAGCUGGAUAAGAAGCGCCGGCUAACUACGUG
rnacentral:rRNA from 1 species